rnacentral:lncRNA from 1 species
GGAAAAUAACCUGUAGGUUUCACAGGAAUGAUCUACCAAGAACCACUGCAUGUACCACUGUGGUAGAAGUUAAGGAGUCUUCAUAGGAUGCUGGAUGAAGGCUGGAUACUUCUAUAUCAGCAGAAUGCUUUGUUUUAUGGCCUCUUGAUGCUGGAAUCAGCUCCACUUUCCCAAAGAAGAGGAAGAAAAUACUCCUGUCUGAAUCUGUGAUUGCCCUCUGUAGAGUUAAAUGUUCAAAGUGAAGACAACUUUUAAGAACAGAGCAAGAAAGUGAAUCACCUUCACACUGAAGAGGCAAGUGAUAAUCUA